GAUUAAAGUUCUUAAAGAGAAUUUUAAAGACUCUCUUGAACAAGGCAUUUGAGAUGAAAAUGAUCACACAUUCAACACCAUAAAUGAAGGACUUAAUGUAGACUCUGGCUUUCUGACACACUACCAAUUUUCUUUUUCAUUUUUUUCUUUUUAACUAGCUUAUUGACUCUCUGCUGUUUAUUUACCUUUUCUGGCUAUUCAACCAAUCUGCACCUUUUACUUUCAGACACAUCUUCUGCUAUUUAUG